UAUAGAUUUUCAAUCCUGCUAAUGAAAUAUAGCUUUCCCAAGCAAAUAUAUAGACAAUAAAGCAAUAAAAGAGGUAGUAGACUACUAAACUUUCAACAAAGUAGUAAGAAUGUUACAAAGUUACACUUCUAAAGAGCUAAUUUUGAUAAUUGGUAUUAGACAUAAAGAGAACAUUACAUCAAACCCAGGGCUUUGAUCUAAUAGUAAGAGCACAAUAUGUGAUGUGUUAGUAAGGCACACAUCACGGGUUCAAAACUUGCCACAAACAAAAGCCUAGAAUGUAAGGGGAAAAGAGUAGAUAGCAAACCCAUUAUCUUUUGAGUUUUGAACUAUGUAUACUGAUCCUUUGGGAUUUUUUGGUUAUUAAAAUAAAAUACAUCUCAAGAAAACCUGGAUAGUUGUACCUCAAAAUGACUUCCCAAAUUCUUGUGAUGGCUGCUCCCAGGGAGUCAGAAAGCCUACAGAAAAUACAUUCAACAUGUUUAGAGAAGAAAGAAAACCGCAGACACCUAGUAUCUUAUUUCUCAUCCAUCAACAGAAAUGAGCAGAAAAGCACGAACAUGUUUGUAGAUGUUUCUAGCCAAGUACCAGAACACUAAUCUGUUGGUAAGAAAAAGAACAAUAGUUCUGAAAGAACAAUUCCUUGGUAAGUACUGCAAUCCACUUUAUCAACAAUGAAAUUAAUGUAAUGGGUUAUCUUUAUCUAACAAACAUGAUUUCAUAAUAUGCAUAAUCAGAAUCAAAUAAAUGGUGAAAACAUCAAUGACUGCAUUAAUGCAUGGAUAGGUGUGCACACACAGAGGGGCAUUGCAUCCAGAGACAACUCAAUAAUUAAGUUUAGAUGUGCACACACAGAGCGUAGAAAAUUUGCAGAUAUUAUCAUAGCGUAGCAAAUUUGGAAAAUACAUCUAUAAAAGAUCACGUAAUGGUAGGUAGAAUUAGAUACUUACUUUGAACACAUGUAACCAAAGGUAUUCAGAAAGCAUGUCGUAUUCAUGAAGAAUUAGAUUUGUAAUUUUAAAGUCGACUACCU
rnacentral:lncRNA from 1 species